rnacentral:rRNA from 1 species
GACGGAGGGUGCUAGCGUUGUUCGGAAUCACUGGGCGUAAAGGGCGCGUAGGCGGCGCCGCAAGUCGGCUGUGAAAGCCCGGGGCUCAACCCCGGAGGUGCAGCCGAGACUGUGGUGCUGGAGGCCGGAAGAGGAGGGUGGAAUACCCAGUGUAGAGGUGAAAUUCGUAGAUAUUGGGUGGAACACCGGUGGCGAAAGCGGCUCUCUGGUCCGGACCUGACGCUGAGGCGCGAAAGCGUGGGGAGCAAACAGGAUUAGAUACCCUGGUAGUCCACGCCCUAAACGAUGUGAGCUAGGCGUCGGGGGGCUUGCCCUUCGGUGCCGCAGCUAACGCAUUAAGCUCACCGCCUGGGGAGUACGGCCGCAAGGUUAAA